UAAAGCCCGAAAAAGAUAUGUGACACUAUUCUUACCUAAUUUACAUUGAUUUUGUUAAAAUUAUACUAUUACUAUAUUUAUUUCUAACUUAAAAAUCUUAUUCAAAUUUUUUUUUCAGGUAUUUUCGGAGGAUUUUACGCCUGAAUUAGAUAUACCACUCGGUACACUGUAUCGUACCAUACCGAGCAAAGCUCAAAACUCUGAUACGAGACAAAAUUUCAAUCCUUGGUUGGUACCAUUUUGAAGUUCACAGUUUUUGCCUUUCUUCUAUAAAUUCUCCCUAGCUAGUUCAUAACAUAAGGUUUAAUAGUCUAAGUGUUUCUCUACUGCCUGCCACCUGUAAUCUUUCUGAAGAAUAUCCUGAAUGUUUUGACUGAUGCUCCUUGAUACAGCAAUGAGACAUUAAACUUGUUGCAUUGCAUGUCUAUGCUAACUGUGCUGACUGAAUAAUUUGUAUUAAUGGGACAAGGAUGCUUACCUCUCCGCCAUAACUAAUGUUCUGUAUCAAGUACCGAAUUCUCAUGAAUAUAUAGUCAUAAUGGAGACACCACAUUGCAUUUUAUUCUUUGGUUCCGAAACUAUAGCCAAAAGUUAUUUAUUUUCAUCAAGGUUUUAAGUGCCAAUUCAGAUUAAUACGUAUGAGCAUUGAAACAUAUAUCAUAAUAGAUGUAUACAUACAAUUUAUUCUCUGUUUCUUUUAUUCAAUAAUAUUAGGCAAUAUGAGUUGGUAUAUUGGUACACUGGUCCAAUAGGUUAUGAAACCAGCAUCGACAUAAAACCUCUCAAUAGGGAACAAAAAACUAUUCUAUCAGCUUUUUUCCCUUCAAUUGUUUCUACUUAUAUAGCAUUGAAAGGCAUAGUAUUUUACUUGAAAAAGAAGAAACUCAUACUGGGUAGGUUUCCAGAAUUACUGUCUAUUCAAUAUACCUAGCUUUAGUUGAAUAUAACAUAAUACUUGCAGUAUUUGUUUGUUGUGGAAAUAGUUGCAUGUCCACUACAAUUUAGAUGAAGCACUUUUAGCUUCCUUAUAUUUUCUCUCCAAUAUGUAAUUGUUCUAGUAUAUAAAAAAUGGUUUGACACUGUGUGAUAGUUUAUAUAUUUUAUUCUGUAUAAGGCUUCUAUUAUGAUGGGUAUUUUAUACCCAAACAUUAGACUUGGAAGUUCAGAAUUUGUGAUCACUGUCAUGAAGUAGCUGAAGAUAUAUUUAACAGGGAAUGGGGAUGAAAUGAAUAGGUGUACUGUAUCUUAGUGGUUAGUUUCAAAUGAAGAGGUAGAUUAAUUCAUUUUUCCAUGAUAAUAAAUGCUAAACACCAGCAUGAUAUGUGAAAAAUCUACUCAAUAUCCAGGAUGUGAUUAAUUAGUUUUUUUAGUGCAGUACUACUUUUGAGUAUUUUGACUAUUGGUCAAGUCUCAUAGACAUUUUGGCUUCAACUGACUUGUAAUUACCUAGGACAUGAUUCAUGCAAAACACUGUACAUUAUCCAGGGCGGAAUGUGAAAAGUAUUACUCAUAAUACAAGACAUGACACCAAGAGAAUUUGUAGCAUUAACAUAGCCAUGGGUUGAAUUUUCAUGCAUGACUUUGUGUUAUCUGAUGGCUUGCAUGGUACAUGCCACAUGCAAAACAUGGUGAAUGGCUGUGUGUUGAUAUAAAUAUUAAAAGAAAAUAAAAAGAAAGUGUAGGGACCAAAAAAACAUCAAAGAAAAAAAUUUAAAGAAACCAAAAAGAGAAAAAAAGCUGAUUUUCUCAAUAUAAAAACAUAAGAUGAUUUAAAAUCAGAAAAAAAAUUGUCUCCAAGUUUUGGAUGGAUGACAAGGUUCUUGAUGGAAUUUAUUCCUUAGUGAUCAUUCAAUUACAUAGGAUUCAUUACUACAGCUCCUUAUCGACAGCAAAAAAGAUUUGAGAGGGAAGAAGAUGAAGAAAGAAAUGACUAAGGAAUCAAUUAAGCAAAUAUGAAAUUUAUACAACUACACCUUUUCUAAAGAAAUGUGUGUUUUUUCAAUACAGAGGAGUGUUUUUUAUUAAAUGUAAAAUCCCUACUUUUAUUUCCAUUCUUUCUGCCUGAAAUCAUGCUUUUCAGCCAAAACACUGUUAAAAACCUGAUACUGUCCUUCUCCUGUUAUAAUCCUGAGACCUUCUAUUGUCAUUUUUGGUUGUGAUCAUAACAUUAUUUUGUCUAUUUUCUCUUUAUACUACAAUAUCAGUAUAAGGAUUCCUUGUCAAGAAACAUUCUUUUGUCAACAAACAACAUUAUUCAGUGAAUCCUUCUAUUGUCAUUUCUGUUAUUCUGUUUCUUGUGGACUCCUUGAUGCAUGAGAUUUGUUGCCAAGUAACCCUUGUUUAUUGGUUGAACUGCGAAACAGCUUUCUCCUGCUGAUUCUGAUGUAUGUUUGAGGAGAUGUAGCUUUAGAACCUAAUGUUUAGAUUAGCGUAUGUGAUGCAUGUGUCUGUUAUUUUUAUUGGAUUUGUCUACUUCUCUACCUUGAGGCUGGUUGGCUGAACUCACCUUCUUAUCUUCUUUUCUAAAUGAAAUUACUUUGCAUUUGUGUAUACAUAAUCUCAUUCAAUGUGCUGUGAUCAAAUUGUGUUGAUAAACAUGAUUUUCUUCUAUUCAAGUAUUGUAACUAAUCCGAGUAUUCUUCCACAACCUUCAUCUUGGGUGGGGAUAAUUUAAGAGUGAUGUAGAUUCUGUCUGAAUGUAUGUACUGUCGGAAGAAUUUUUUUAUAGUAAAUAAAUUGUACUUGAUUGUUCAAAAGCUAAAGGGUCGUUGCUGAGAAUUGUAAAACCGAGGAAAUUAUAAACAUGCUCAUUUGGUUCUAGUCGUAUGCCAUGUUUUUGUAAUAAUUUCUCCUUAGAUUUAAUUUACUUGGUAGUGAUUAUUUUCUAAUGCAUUAAGCUACUUACAUGUGGUUCACAAAUGGUCUGUCCUUUCUCUUUAAACAUUUUGAACCUAUAGUUGGGAACACCUACAAUCAGUUGAGUACAUCAUCAGAGUUUUUGUGCUCAAUGUUUUCUUUGUAGCAGAAUUUACAUCAUAACAUCAACCCUGAAUGUGCCUAUCUAGAGCACAAAAGUAUUUUGAAGUUGCAAAAUUAUAUUAGGCAAACUACAUAUACACCAACUUGAUCAAUUUGCCUUUGAUGAUUUAGCAGGGAGAACUAUUUGUGUUAGACCUGAAUACUUUGUGAGGGUAAACGAGAGAUUAAAAUUGAUUUGUUUAUAAUUAAUUAUCAUGAUUUGUACUUGGUUACCAAAUUGGUUUACUGUAAAUAAAGUAAGAAUCCAGGUUAAAAAUGGAAUGUGAUUCCUAAUUAAUUUGACUUGGAGGAGUUUGGAAUUUUUACAUUUUUGGACAGGUAGGGUUAUCUAACUUAUAAAAUCGCUCUUGAAUCUCCUCUCAAGUCACCAGGGAGCGAGACCGACAACAGGGAAGAGGGAGUUGUCAGCAACAGCAAGGAGAGGAUGGUGUGGCAUCUUCAUUAGGGAGAAGGCUUGCUUUAUUGACUUGGAUUUGGAGUCUCUUGAGAAGAUGGUUUAUUGCCAUGAAUUAGAUCAGAAGGGAGUGAAUUUCUAUAAAAUGAUGAGGAGAUUUAAGGAAAGUGUUACAUUCCUAGAGUGGAGGUCCAAUUGCAGAAGUAUUCAAUAUUAGUAUUAAAAUUUUCUCACAACUUGCAUCAUGUAUGUAAGAAGACAAGCUGCAAGUAUCCCUCCUAAAGAGAUUUGACAAAUUCUAGUUACCAUAUUUUAGGUUUUAGUAUUUCCUACUUGUCAACUUUUGUGUAAUUCUGUGGGAAACUGACCCAACAUGAUGUGUUUUCCUAAGGGAUCUGACCAGCUCUAAUUUUACAAUGCUUAAAUCAUAUAAUAAAUGGUAGAUUGACUUCA